UGAUCCUAUGGUGCUCGACGCUCCCGGC
rnacentral:piRNA from 1 species